UCCGGUAUCUUAACAAAAUGUGUUGUUGUCCGAUGCAUACAGCUGCAACAGCAGGCCUCACGCGAUAUUUGUUUCUCUCUUCCACUUCGCAGAGCACGCAGUCGUCGCCAGCACAUCGUGUAUAUAAGGGACGAGAAGACGCCAGAGCUGCAUCAGUCGUCAUGGCAGCCUCCACCAAGUCUCUCCUGCUCCUCUGUCUGGCUCUCGUGGUCGUGGCCGCGAUGGCGCAGGAACCUGCAGACGUACCAGCUGUCCCUAGCGGAGAUGCCGCCAGCAACCAGGAGCCGGUACAGCCGGUGGUGGGCGACGGAGCUGCUGGGGACCAGGCGCUGCAAGACCGCUGGGGGGCGUCCAUUUCCUUCCAUACUGGCUGAGCGACCUGCUGGCACAUUCCAGAAAUAGGAGGCUCUAGUUUGUUAUAACCGUUUCUUUCUUUACAGAUUAGACAUUUAAAAUACUUUUUCUGUUUCUAUAUCAAGAUCUUCCUUUUCAUUUUUCAAAACUAUAAACAAAAAUGUAUUACAAAUGAAUAAAUAAAUUUUAGAAUUCAAAAAAGCA